rnacentral:tmRNA from 1 species
GCGAUUGCGUUCGGGCCGGUCCCACCCUAUAUCUCUCGGGUCGGGCAACCGACUAUGGCGAUAAACGGCUUACGGAAUAAGCGUUGCGGACCCGGGGGCGGUACCCGGCGCCUCCACCAAAUUCCGCCGGCUCUGGAGCCGGCAGCUUAUGGGGGCGAAAUAGGCUCGACGCGCGUGGUAAAGGUAAGAACCGUCGCCCGGCAUGAUACCGCCGUUAUCGGGUCAAAACUUAGCUGCGAACGAUAACUUCGCAACAGAGGCACUUGCGGCCUAACCCUUCACGGGGUGAAGCUAACAGGUAACUCGCGGUCCGAGGGGCACCGGGCAACAGAAGCCCCUCACU